CCUACGGGAGGCAGCAGUGGGGAAUAUUGCACAAUGGGCGAAAGCCUGAUGCAGCGACGCCGCGUGAGGGAUGACGGCCUUCGGGUUGUAAACCUCUUUCAGCAGGGAAGAAGCGAAAGUGACGGUACCUGCAGAAGAAGCACCGGCUAACUACGUGCCAGCAGCCGCGGUAAUACGUAGGGUGCGAGCGUUGUCCGGAAUUAUUGGGCGUAAAGAGCUUGUAGGCGGUUUGUCGCGUCUGCCGUGAAAAUUCGAGGCUCAACCUCGAACUUGCGGUGGGUACGGGCAGACUAGAGUGUGGUAGGGGAGACUGGAAUUCCUGGUGUAGCGGUGAAAUGCGCAGAUAUCAGGAGGAACACCGAUGGCGAAGGCAGGUCUCUGGGCCACUACUGACGCUGAGAAGCGAAAGCAUGGGGAGCGAACAGGAUUAGAUACCCUGGUAGUCCAUGACGUAACGUUAGGUACGUAGGUGUGGUCGUCUACUCUACGAGAUCGUCGCCGCGAGCUACGACAGUUACGUUCCCGUCCGUCGGGAGGUACGGCCGGCGACGGUAACGUAAACGUACGUUAAGUUAGUAGUUAGUUACGGCGUUGAGACGNGCCGACGGACGACGACGAGGGAGGAGG
rnacentral:rRNA from 1 species